rnacentral:rRNA from 1 species
GUCUAUAUGAAAGGUAUAUAAAGUCUAACCUGCCCAUUGGGGACUAAAAGGCCGCGGUAUUAUGACCGUGCAAAGGUAGCAUAAUAAUUAGUCUUUUAAUUGAAGGCUAGAAUGAAUGGUUGGACAAGAAAUUAACUGUCUUUGAUAAAAAUAUUAAAUUUAACUUUUAAGUGAAAAGGCUUAAAUAAAUUAGAGGGACGAUAAGACCCUAUAAAACUUUAUAUACUUAUAAUUUAAUAGAAAUCUUUGUUUAUAAAAAUUUAGAUUAGAGUAUUUUAUUGGGGCGAUGAAAAUAAAAUCUUAGGUAACUGUUUUUGUUUUUUAACAAUAAUAUUUGAAUUUUAGAUCCCGAAAAAGAUCAAAAGAUUAAGUUACUUUAGGGAUAACAGCGUUAUUUUCUUUAAGAGUUCAUAUCGACAAGAAAGUUUGCGACCUCGAUGUUGAAUUAAAAGUUCUUUGUGGGGCAGAAAUUACAAGAGAAGGUCUGUUCGACCUUUAAAAUUUUACAUAUUUGAGUUC